rnacentral:rRNA from 1 species
UACGGAGGAUCCAAGCGUUAUCCGGAUUUAUUGGGUUUAAAGGGUGCGUAGGUGGCCUGUUAAGUCAGGGGUGAAAGACGGUAGCUUAACUAUCGCAGUGCCCUUGAUACUGAUGGGCUUGAAUGAACUAGAGGUAGGCGGAAUGUGACAAGUAGCGGUGAAAUGCAUAGAUAUGUCACAGAACACCAAUUGCGAAGGCAGCUUACUAUGGUUUUAUUGACACUGAGGCACGAAAGCGUGGGGAGUCAAACAGG